UACGAAGGGGGCUAGCGUUGCUCGGAAUUACUGGGCGUAAAGGGAGCGUAGGCGGAUAGUUUAGUCAGAGGUGAAAGCCCAGGGCUCAACCUUGGAAUUGCCUUUGAUACUGGCUAUCUUGAGUACGGAAGAGGUAUGUGGAACUCCGAGUGUAGAGGUGAAAUUCGUAGAUAUUCGGAAGAACACCAGUGGCGAAGGCGGCUUUCUGGCCUGUUCUUGACGCUGAGGCGCGAAAGCCAGGGGAGCAAACGGG
rnacentral:rRNA from 1 species